CAGAGCAUUCGUGUUGGUCAAGAGGUGAGAAUCGAGAAAGUGAAAACCUUUCGCUUGCUGCUUCGGAUCAAAAAGUAGGCUCAAAAGUUCUUUACGAAAUACGUCCGUCCGUCCGUCCACCAGCCAACCAAAAAGUUGUGCUUGUCGUCGUCGUCUCAAACCCACACCUCUCUCUCUUUCUAACUAAGCAGCACUACCUCGUAUCUAUCCCACACUCAAUUUAAUACUCAGUGCGGUGUAAAUACACCAGUAAUAAAAUAGUACAAGUACAUAUAAAGUAACUGACUUUGGUAAUCUCAAUCUCCCUCACAUUACAUUACAUUACAUUAUUAUUCUCUGCUUUUCUUCUUCUUCUUCUACUUCUACAUACACCAAGCCAGCCAGACUCGGCCAAACUUUACAAACCAAACCCAACCUCACAACUUGGCACAACUAACUAACUAUCAGCAUCUCUAAGCAAGGAACUAUAUAGCAAAUCCAACUUUUGAGACCCAUCACUUGCCAUUCUACCCUGGACUUGGAUUCAACUUGCACUUCUCCUCAUUCAUUGUCUCCUCAUCAGUCUCAAGCAAUUAAGAGACCACCUUUCCACCAGAGAAAAGUAGCAGCCGAGUAAAAAUAUCAAAGUGAGACGGAAAUAAUCGCUUCCUCAUUCGCAAUUUUUUUUCAUGCAACCCCCACAAAUGAAAACAUACAUAAACAACGACGCCGAGUAGUGAGUGUGCGGAACCAUAUUGCAAUAAAAAUCGCACUUGAUCAAGCCAAUAAUCAUCCUGCCUCCAUCUCAUUUUUACUACUGACUGACGAGCAGGCAGAGGAAUCGUCUCGCGAUAUCCUUGCAAAAAACAACAACAAGAUUUAAGUACCUGUUUCUCCUUCUGCAAGUGCAUCGUCGUCGUCGGCUUUCUCUCAUCAUCGCCGUCGCAACUUCUUUCUUGCACAAUAACAACAACAAAACAAAUUACGAAAACAUCCCUCCAUCCAUUCAUUCAUCGAUCCAUCGUCAUGUCUCAACUGACAAAGUGCUGUCUCCUCGCGCUCGCCGUGUUCCUUCUCAUGCAAACUUUCUCCUGGGAAAUGCAGGCGGAUGCCGCUCCCCGAAUUCGACAUAGUGGAAAGCGUCGCUUUUUCCAGGCCCCGACCGUCAACCGAUGCGGGACUGGGAGGGUUAAGGGGCACGAUGGCGAUUGUUACUGGGUCUUCCGGGCUCGUCGGCGUCGCAACGUGGUCGACGAUGUCACCAUUCCUCAGCCACACCAGACCGAGAUCAAGUGGCCUUGGCAGCCGGUGGAGAAAAUUAAAACUUUCUACUAAAAGUGAGGGGUAAUAAGUAGCACGAUUUAUUAUUAUGAUGUUAGUUAGUUAGCAUCAUCCUCAUAUAAGUACAUUUUACAUACAGUUUAUGAUCCGGGUCUGUAUUUUAACUCAAAUAAUCAUGUUUUUUUAAACCAAACCUAUGAAAGUUUGGCUUAUCUAAUUAACGAUCUCGCUGUGAUACUAAAUAAUUAAAUACGAUACAACACGUUAUGUAUAUGUAAAGAGGGAGGGUAGGUGCAUAUGUAGGUGUAAGUAGUAGCGUUACAUAUUUACAUACAUACCAUACAAAUGCCGUCGUAAGUAUUAUUAUUAUUUUUGACAAUGAAUGAAUCAUCCUCUCAGACUGACUUUUAUUUACUACUGCGGAAAAAGCUAUGAUUUUCCUAUUAUUAUUAAAAGAAGGAGUAAGUGAGUAUGUACAUUCAUGAUUGGUUCAAGAACAAAAUUUUACUACGACGCAUCAUCAAAUUAUUAUUUGUUAAUGCAUAGUUGACUGACGACUGUGACAACAAUACAAUAAAAUAGUGAUAAGAAGUUGGGCACCAGGCUAAAAAAGAUUAACAACGUAAACAGUUUCGAAAUAUUGACCAACUUUUUUACGCAAUAAGAAGAUGGAGAGGAAAAAAAUUAAAAUUUUCGAAUCCAAUAUUGCAGCGAGAAAGACGACUACUGUUGAAUAUACAAUUAUUAUUAUUGUUAUUUUAUUAUUUACUUUCCCUUUUUGGAGAUAAAUAUUACGGAUUCUGCGAAUAUGAGACACAAAUAUGAAGUACAUGUUAAGGAAACAGAUCGAGUAUUACAUAUACAAAAGUUAUAUAAGACAUUCACAAACAAACAAAUCGUAUUGCACACACCUCGGGUGGGUGGGUGGAUGGAUAACUUAUCCAGGAUAAGUGGUGGUGGUGGCCGUAGCGGUGGUGUGACAUCCAGACUGAAUCAUUUAAAAAUUAAGUAAAUAUUUAGCACAUGAUUUUUUUGUACUAAAAUAAAUACAGAGAUACUUAUCCACAAAUAAGAAUUAAGCCUUUUUUAAAGUAAAAGUAUAGAAUUGUUAUAAGACAAAAAUAAGUUUAAUCGGGUAGAAGAGGAACGUGCUCGGUUUGGUGUAUGAUUAAGUACAUAUGACUUUUAUGGUCUCGAAGCAAAUAAAAGAUUUCACUUGAGAAUGAAUCCUA